rnacentral:rRNA from 1 species
AGAAGUCGUAACAAGGUAACCAGAGUUUGAUCCUGGCUCAGAUUGAACGCUGGCGGAAUGCUUUACACAUGCAAGUCGAACGGCAGCACGGGAGCUUGCACCUGGUGGCGAGUGGCGAACGGGUGAGUAAUGCGUCGGAACGUACCGAGUAAUGGGGGAUAACGCAGCGAAAGUUGUGCUAAUACCGCGUACGCCCUGAGGGGGAAAGUGGGGGACCGCAAGGCCUCACGUUAUUCGAGCGGCCGACGUCUGAUUAGCUAGUUGGUGGGGUAAAGGCCUACCAAGGCGACGAUCAGUAGCGGGUCUGAGAGGAUGAUCCGCCACACUGGGACUGAGACACGGCCCAGACUCCUACGGGAGGCAGCAGUGGGGAAUUUUGGACAAUGGGCGCAAGCCUGAUCCAGCCAUUCCGCGUGAGUGAAGAAGGCCUUCGGGUUGUAAAGCUCUUUCGGCAGGAACGAAACGGCGGGCUCUAACAUAGCCUGUUACUGACGGUACCUGCAGAAGAAGCACCGGCUAACUACGUGCCAGCAGCCGCGGUAAUACGUAGGGUGCGAGCGUUAAUCGGAAUUACUGGGCGUAAAGCGUGCGCAGGCGGAUUGUUAAGCAAGACGUGAAAUCCCCGGGCUUAACCUGGGAAUGGCGUUUUGAACUGGCAGUCUAGAGUGCGUCAGAGGGGGGUGGAAUUCCACGUGUAGCAGUGAAAUGCGUAGAGAUGUGGAGGAACACCGAUGGCGAAGGCAGCCCCCUGGGAUGACACUGACGCUCAUGUACGAAAGCGUG